UACGUAGGGUGCAAGCGUUGUCCGGAAUUAUUGGGCGUAAAGAGCUCGUAGGCGGUCUGUCGCGUCUGCUGUGAAAAUCCAGGGCUCAACCCUGGACCUGCAGUGGGUACGGGCAGACUAGAGUGCGGUAGGGGAGAUCGGAAUUCCUGGUGUAGCGGUGAAAUGCGCAGAUAUCAGGAGGAACACCGGUGGCGAAGGCGGAUCUCUGGGCCGAUACUGACGCUGAGGAGCGAAAGCGUGGGGAGCAAACAGG
rnacentral:rRNA from 1 species